CAGGCUUAACACAUGCAAGUCGAGGGGCAGCAUUUCAGUUUGCUUGCAAACUGGAGAUGGCGACCGGCGCACGGGUGAGUAACACGUAUCCAACCUGCCGAUAACUCGGGGAUAGCCUUUCGAAAGAAAGAUUAAUACCCGAUGGUAUAAUCAGACCGCAUGGUCUUGUUAUUAAAGAAUUUCGGUUAUCGAUGGGGAUGCGUUCCAUUAGGCAGUUGGUGAGGUAACGGCUCACCAAAUCUUCGAUGGAUAGGGGUUCUGAGAGGAAGGUCCCCCACAUUGGAACUGAGACACGGUCCAAACUCCUACGGGAGGCAGCAGUGAGGAAUAUUGGUCAAUGGGCGCAGGCCUGAACCAGCCAAGUAGCGUGAAGGAUGACUGCCCUAUGGGUUGUAAACUUCUUUUAUAUGGGAAUAAAGUUUUCCACGUGUGGAAUUUUGUAUGUACCAUAUGAAUAAGGAUCGGCUAACUCCGUGCCAGCAGCCGCGGUAAUACGGAGGAUCCGAGCGUUAUCCGGAUUUAUUGGGUUUAAAGGGAGCGUAGGUGGACAGUUAAGUCAGUUGUGAAAGUUUGCGGCUCAACCGUAAAAUUGCAGUUGAUACUGGCUGUCUUGAGUACAGUAGAGGUGGGCGGAAUUCGUGGUGUAGCGGUGAAAUGCUUAGAUAUCACGAAGAACUCCGAUUGCGAAGGCAGCUCACUGGACUGCAACUGACACUGAUGCUCGAAAGUGUGGGUAUCAAACAGGAUUAGAUACCCUGGUAGUCCACACAGUAAACGAUGAAUACUCGCUGUUUGCGAUAUACAGUAAGCGGCCAAGCGAAAGCAUUAAGUAUUCCACCUGGGGAGUACGCCGGCAACGGUGAAACUCAAAGGAAUUGACGGGGGCCCGCACAAGCGGAGGAACAUGUGGUUUAAUUCGAUGAUACGCGAGGAACCUUACCCGGGCUUAAAUUGCAUUUGAAUAUAUUGGAAACAGUAUAGCCGUAAGGCAAAUGUGAAGGUGCUGCAUGGUUGUCGUCAGCUCGUGCCGUGAGGUGUCGGCUUAAGUGCCAUAACGAGCGCAACCCUUAUCUUUAGUUACUAACAGGUCAUGCUGAGGACUCUAGAGAGACUGCCGUCGUAAGAUGUGAGGAAGGUGGGGAUGACGUCAAAUCAGCACGGCCCUUACGUCCGGGGCUACACACGUGUUACAAUGGGGGGUACAGAAGGCAGCUACCUGGUGACAAGAUGCUAAUCCCAAAAGCCUCUCUCAGUUCGGAUCGAAGUCUGCAACCCGACUUCGUGAAGCUGGAUUCGCUAGUAAUCGCGCAUCAGCCAUGGCGCGGUGAAUACGUUCCCGGGCCUUGUACACACCGCCCGUCAAGCCAUGAAAGCCGGGGGUACCUGAAGUACGUAACCGCAAGGAGCGUCCUAGGGUAAAGCUGGUAAU
rnacentral:rRNA from 1 species